CCAGCACCCCGAGUGGUCGGGACGAUUAUUGGGCCUAAAGCAUCCGUAGCCGGUACUGCAAGUCUUCCGUUAAAUCCACCUGCUAAACAGUUGGGCUGCGGGGGAUACUACAGCGCUAGGAGGCGGGAGAGGCAAGCGGUACUCAAUGGGUAGGGGUAAAAUCCGCUGAUCCAUUGAGGACCACCAGUGGCGAAGGCGGCUUGCCAGAACGCGCUCGACGGUGAGGGAUGAAAGCUGGGGGAGCAAACCGGAUUAGAUACCCGGGUAGUCCCAGCUGUAAACGAUGCAGACUCGGUGAUGGGCUGGCCUUGUGCCAACCCAGUGCCGCAGGGAAGCCGUUAAGUCUGCCGCCUGGGGAGUACGGUCGCAAGACUG
rnacentral:rRNA from 1 species